AUGAACGCUAGCUACAGGCUUAACACAUGCAAGUCGAGGGGCAGCAUGGUCUUAGCUUGCUAAGGCCGAUGGCGACCGGCGCACGGGUGAGUAACACGUAUCCAACCUGCCGUCUACUCUUGGACAGCCUUCUGAAAGGAAGAUUAAUACAAGAUGGCAUCAUGAGUCCGCAUGUUCACAUGAUUAAAGGUAUUCCGGUAGACGAUGGGGAUGCGUUCCAUUAGAUAGUAGGCGGGGUAACGGCCCACCUAGUCUUCGAUGGAUAGGGGUUCUGAGAGGAAGGUCCCCCACAUUGGAACUGAGACACGGUCCAAACUCCUACGGGAGGCAGCAGUGAGGAAUAUUGGUCAAUGGGCGAGAGCCUGAACCAGCCAAGUAGCGUGAAGGAUGACUGCCCUAUGGGUUGUAAACUUCUUUUAUAAAGGAAUAAAGUCGGGUAUGGAUACCCGUUUGCAUGUACUUUAUGAAUAAGGAUCGGCUAACUCCGUGCCAGCAGCCGCGGUAAUACGGAGGAUCCGAGCGUUAUCCGGAUUUAUUGGGUUUAAAGGGAGCGUAGAUGGAUGUUUAAGUCAGUUGUGAAAGUUUGCGGCUCAACCGUAAAAUUGCAGUUGAUACUGGAUAUCUUGAGUGCAGUUGAGGCAGGCGGAAUUCGUGGUGUAGCGGUGAAAUGCUUAGAUAUCACGAGGAACUCCGAUUGCGAAGGCAGCCUGCUAAGCUGCAACUGACAUUGAGGCUCGAAAGUGUGGGUAUCAAACAGGAUUAGAUACCCUGGUAGUCCACACGGUAAACGAUGAAUACUCGCUGUUUGCGAUAUACAGCAAGCGGCCAAGCGAAAGCGUUAAGUAUUCCACCUGGGGAGUACGCCGGCAACGGUGAAACUCAAAGGAAUUGACGGGGGCCCGCACAAGCGGAGGAACAUGUGGUUUAAUUCGAUGAUACGCGAGGAACCUUACCCGGGCUUAAAUUGCAGAUGAAUUACGGUGAAAGCCGUAAGCCGCAAGGCAUCUGUGAAGGUGCUGCAUGGUUGUCGUCAGCUCGUGCCGUGAGGUGUCGGCUUAAGUGCCAUAACGAGCGCAACCCUUGUUGUCAGUUACUAACAGGUUCCGCUGAGGACUCUGACAAGACUGCCAUCGUAAGAUGUGAGGAAGGUGGGGAUGACGUCGAAUCAGCACGGCCCUUACGUCCGGGGCUACACACGUGUUACAAUGGGGGGUACAGAGGGCCGCUACCACGCGAGUGGAUGCCAAUCCCCAAAACCUCUCUCAGUUCGGACUGGAGUCUGCAACCCGACUCCACGAAGCUGGAUUCGCUAGUAAUCGCGCAUCAGCCACGGCGCGGUGAAUACGUUCCCGGGCCUUGUACACACCGCCCGUCAAGCCAUGGGAGCCGGGGGUACCUGAAGUGCGUAACCGCGAGGAGCGCCCUAGGGUAAAACUGGUGACUGGGGCU
rnacentral:rRNA from 1 species